GAUGAAGAACGUAGCGAAAUGCGAUAAGUAGUGUGAAUUGCAGAAUUCAGUGAAUCAUCGAAUCUUUGAACGCACAUUGCGCCCUUUGGUAUUCCAUGGGGCAUGCCUGUUCGAGCGUCAUUUGUACCUUCAAGCUUUGCUUGGUGUUGGGUGUUUGUCUCGCCUUUGCGUGUAGACUCGCCUUAAAAUAAUUGGCAGCCGGCGUAUUGAUUUCGGAGCGCAGUACAUCUCGCGCUUUGCACUCAUAACGACAGCGUCCAAAAGUACAUUUUACACUCUUGACCUCGGAUCAGGUAGGGAUACCCGCUGAACUUAAGCAUAUCAAUAAGCGGAGGA
rnacentral:misc_RNA from 1 species